CCUACGGGUGGCAGCAGUGGGGAAUAUUGGACAAUGGGCGAAAGCCUGAUCCAGCCAUGCCGCGUGUGUGAAGAAGGCCUUCGGGUUGUAAAGCACUUUCAGUGGGGAAGAAAGCCUUGGGGCUAAUACCCUCGAGGAAGGACAUCACCCACAGAAGAAGCACCGGCUAACUCCGUGCCAGCAGCCGCGGUAAUACGGAGGGUGCGAGCGUUAAUCGGAAUUACUGGGCGUAAAGCGCGCGUAGGCGGUCUGAUAAGCCGGUUGUGAAAGCCCCGGGCUCAACCUGGGAACGGCAUCCGGAACUGUCAGGCUAGAGUGCAGGAGAGGAAGGUAGAAUUCCCGGGGUAGCGGUGAAAUGCGUAGAGAUCGGGAGGAAUACCAGUGGCGAAGGCGGCCUUCUGGACUGACACUGACGCUGAGGUGCGAAAGCGUGGGUAGCAAACAGGAUUAGAUACCCUAGUAGC
rnacentral:rRNA from 1 species